rnacentral:rRNA from 1 species
AUACGGAGGGAGCAAGCGUUAUUCGGAAUCACUGGGCGUAAAGGACGCGUAGGCGGGUUGUAAGUCAGGUGUGAAAUCCUACAGCUCAACUGUAGAACUGCACUUGAAACUACAGACCUCGAGUAUGGAAGGGGCAGAUGGAAUUAGUGGUGUAGGGGUAAAAUCCGUAGAUAUCACUAGGAAUACCGAAAGUGAAGGCGAUCUGCUGGGACAUUACUGACGCUGAGGCGUGAAAGCGUGGGGAGCAAACAGGAUUAGAAACCCGUGUAGUCC